rnacentral:rRNA from 1 species
UACGUAGGGCGCAAGCGUUGUCCGGAAUUAUUGGGCGUAAAGAGCUCGUAGGCGGUCUGUCGCGUCGGAUGUGAAAGCCCGGGGCUUAACCCCGGGUCUGCAUUCGAUACGGGCAGACUAGAGUGUGGUAGGGGAGAUCGGAAUUCCUGGUGUAGCGGUGAAAUGCGCAGAUAUCAGGAGGAACACCAAUAGCGAAGGCAGCUCGCUGGGACGGUAUUGACGCUAAGGCGCGAAAGCGUGGGGAGCAAACAGG